rnacentral:rRNA from 1 species
AGAGUUUGAUCCUGGCUCAGAUUGAACGCUGGCGGCAUGCUUUACACAUGCAAGUCGAACGGGGUUAAGGGGCUUGCUCCUUAAUCUAGUGGCGAACGGGUGAGUAAUGCAUCGGAACGUACCCGGGAGUGGGGGAUAACGCACCGAAAGGUGUGCUAAUACCGCAUAUUCUGUGAGCAGGAAAGCAGGGGACCUUAGGGCCUUGUGCUUCCGGAGCGGCCGAUGUCGGAUUAGCUAGUUGGUGAGGUAAAGGCUCACCAAGGCGACGAUCCGUAGCGGGUCUGAGAGGAUGAUCCGCCCCCUGGGACUGAGACACGGCC